UCGGGCUGAGAGAGAGCGUAAGAAAAAGCGUGGUUAAUUAUUUUUUGUUCUAAGGGCGACUUGUACCUUGUCGGCCGUGAAACCCACUGUCCGUACCGAAUGAAUACAUCGGCCGAUUUGGACGAUUACAUGUUUUCUCUAGACGAAUCCUUUUGUAUCGGCUGUGUGCUGUUUAUCGUGGUCGAUCCUUUAUGCUCCGACCCAUAUACUAG
rnacentral:lncRNA from 1 species